GACCCCUCCUUACUGGAGGGGGGUGGGGAUGACGUCAAAUCAUCAUGCCCCUUAUGACCUGGGCUGCACACGUGCUACAAUGGGAAGUACAACGAGUCGCUAGACCGCGAGGUCAUGCGGGUCUCUUAAAGCUUCUCUCAGUUCGGAUUGCAGGCUGCAACUCGCCUGCAUGAAGCCGGAAUCGCUAGUAAUCGCGGAUCAGCACGCCGCGGUGAAUACGUUCCCGGGCCUUGUACACACCGCCCGUCACACCACGAGAGUUUGUAACACCCGAAGUCGGUGAGGUAACCUUUUUGGAGCCAGCCGCCUAAGGUGGGAUAGAUGAUUGGGGUUAGAGUCACAUCAAGAGGCAUUACCAAA
rnacentral:rRNA from 1 species